AGAGAUGUGUGAUGACGCAUAUCAAUAAGCGGAGGAAAAGAAACUAACAAGGAUUCCCUUAGUAACGGCGAGUGAAGCGGGAAGAGCUCAAAUUUGAAAUCUUCAAGGUUCUACCUUGACGAAUUGUAGUUUAAAGAAGUGUUUUCUGUUAGUGGAGUGGCAAAAGUUCUUUGGAAUAGGACAUCAUAGAGGGUGAGAAUCCCGUAUUUGGUCAUUCCUUCUAGCUUUGUGAUACACUUUCAAAGAGUCGGAUUGUUUGGGAAUGCAGUCCAAAAUGGGUGGUAAAUUUCAUCUAAAGCUAAAUAUUGGCGAGAGACCGAUAGCGAACAAGUACCGUGAGGGAAAGAUGAAAAGAACUUUGAAAAGAGAGUUAAACAGUACGUGAAAUUGUCAAAAGGGAAGCGUUUGACACCAGUGUUGUUUUUCCGAAAAUCAAUUACGAAUGUUUUAUUUUUGAGGAGUUAUGACUUCAUCGGCUUGCUCCUUUCUUUAUGAAACUUUCUUAAUGCACUUUUCGGUUAACAAGUCAACAUCAAUUUCUUUUGUUGUAAAAGGGUAUGAGGAAGGUGGCUUUCUUUUCGGAGAAAGUGUUUAUAGCCUUGUACCUCUGCAAUCGGAGAGAUUGAGGUCUGCAGCGUAGAUCCUUCGGGGUUAGAUACAUUUGUGCUAGGUUAUAGCUUUUCAUAGACAACUUGUUGACUAUGUUAAGUCUUGUAGCUUACUCGCAUAUGCUAUUUUACCUACGCUUAGGAUGUUGACGAUCAGCUGAGCGCG
rnacentral:rRNA from 1 species